CCUGCCCUGAGAUGCUUUGCAGGGGAGGCUGCAGUGUCAGUAGGUGGCAGAGAGGAGAGAGCUAUGUCUCUGCUCAGUGUUCUGACCUGUGAACAUCUGAAUAAUUAGUAGCCUAACAUU
rnacentral:snoRNA from 1 species